AUGAUCUACAAGGUGUACUCUACAAGACCCACAACGAUUUUGAGAAUGGUGAUAGUCGAAUCCGAACCUUUUCGAGGAGCAGUACCGGAAUCCGCGAGUAUUUUGCUUCAAUGAGUGAAAACAGACGAUCUGCAGCAGCUAGGAAUGUGUGAUGAAGCUUCGGAAUGGCUUAACAAUGCCUCAAAUCGCAGCAAAUCUUGGCUGCCAUGGAUGAAUGGUGAUUUGGACAGUUGUGAUCGUGAUCUUUCUUGAUCCAAAACCUGCAAACAGAAACUCACAAACAAGUAUGGAUGAUGAAUUCACUGAGGAUUCGCACAAAGCUUGGAGAAUUGUUGAUGAAUUGGUGAAAAAAAAUCAAUAUGCAAUGUGAAAAAGUGAGAGGAAAAUGAGAGAGUUCUUGAGAUUUUUUUGUUGAAUUUGUGAAUUAUGAUUAGUGUGCAUUUCUGUUAGAGAUUAAGUAUUUAUAUGGAAACACUAAUCCAAGUUCUUAAUCUCAAUUAGUGAAAAAUGGUGAUUAAUGAAAAUGAGCUUUGUAUGUGCAAUUGGCCUUUUUUGCUCUUUCUCUAAACCAAUCCAUAUAUCAGCUCAAAUUUGAUUCCAGCAAGUCCAAAAUACCAUAUGCAAUGUGUAGAAACAAAAAUCAUUUCAAUUGGAUGCCUAUUU
rnacentral:lncRNA from 1 species